AGAGUUUGAUCCUGGCUCAGGAUGAACGCUAGCUACAGGCUUAACACAUGCAAGUCGAGGGGAAACGACAUCGAAAGCUUGCUUUUGAUGGGCGUCGACCGGCGCACGGGUGAGUAACGCGUAUCCAACCUGCCCACCACUUGGGGAUAACCUUGCGAAAGUAAGACUAAUACCCAAUGAUAUCUCUAGAAGACAUCUGAAGGAGAUUAAAGAUUUAUCGGUGAUGGAUGGGGAUGCGUCUGAUUAGCUUGUUGGCGGGGUAACGGCCCACCAAGGCGACGAUCAGUAGGGGUUCUGAGAGGAAGGUCCCCCACAUUGGAACUGAGACACGGUCCAAACUCCUACGGGAGGCAGCAGUGAGGAAUAUUGGUCAAUGGACGAGAGUCUGAACCAGCCAAGUAGCGUGCAGGAUGACGGCCCUAUGGGUUGUAAACUGCUUUUAUAAGGGAAUAAAGUGAGUCUCGUGAGACUUUUUGCAUGUACCUUAUGAAUAAGGACCGGCUAAUUCCGUGCCAGCAGCCGCGGUAAUACGGAAGGUCCGGGCGUUAUCCGGAUUUAUUGGGUUUAAAGGGAGCGUAGGCCGGAGAUUAAGCGUGUUGUGAAAUGUAGACGCUCAACGUCUGCACUGCAGCGCGAACUGGUUUCCUUGAGUACGCACAAAGUGGGCGGAAUUCGUGGUGUAGCGGUGAAAUGCUUAGAUAUCACGAAGAACUCCGAUUGCGAAGGCAGCUCACUGGAGCGCAACUGACGCUGAAGCUCGAAAGUGCGGGUAUCGAACAGGAUUAGAUACCCUGGUAGUCCGCACGGUAAACGAUGGAUGCCCGCUGUUGGUCUGAAUAGGUCAGCGGCCAAGCGAAAGCAUUAAGCAUCCCACCUGGGGAGUACGCCGGCAACGGU
rnacentral:rRNA from 1 species